UUCCUACGGGAGGCAGCAGUGAGGAAUAUUGGACAAUGGUCGAGAGACUGAUCCAGCCAUGCCGCGUGCAGGAAGACGGCCCUAUGGGUUGUAAACUGCUUUUUUACGGGAAGAAUAAUGCCCACGUGUGGGCAGAUGACGGUACCGUAGGAAUAAGGACCGGCUAACUCCGUGCCAGCAGCCGCGGUAAUACGGAGGGUCCAAGCGUUAUCCGGAAUCAUUGGGUUUAAAGGGUCCGCAGGCGGGUCAGUAAGUCAGGGGUGAAAGUUUGCGGCUUAACCGUAAAAUUGCCUUUGAUACUGCUGGUCUUGAGUUGCGGUGAAGUGGCUGGAAUAUGUGGUGUAGCGGUGAAAUGCAUAGAUAUCACAUAGAACACCGAUUGCGAAGGCAGGUCACUAACCGCCGACUGACGCUGAUGGACGAAAGCGUGGGGAGCGAACGGGAUUAGAUACCCCGGUAGUCCACGCCGUAAACGAUGGACACUAGCUGUCGGGCCGAUUUAGGUUCGGUGGCCAAGCGAAAGUGAUAAGUGUCCCACCUGGGGAGUACGUCGGCAACGAUGAAACUCAAAUGAAUUGACGGAA
rnacentral:rRNA from 1 species